AUGAAGCUAUGUUCAAUGAAAUUCAUUCAAAGGUGAGAUGUAUCGUCGAACAAACUAUCGGAAUUUUAAAAGGACGCUGGAGAAUUUUAGGAUAUGGCAAGAGAGGAAGGUACCAUCCGACAAAGCAAGAUUUGCUAACGUUUGUGCAGCAUUUUACACAAUAUCUGCAUAAAAUUUAAAAUAAAUUAUGAUCCUCAGAACCAAUCGUUUCAUCCGUGUACGGAUCGGCAAACAUACGAAAGAAAAUUACGUGAUACGUCAAUCGUAUUCGGUGAUUGGCAUUAUGACAUACGAUAGCAAACGGAUCGUAAUGUCACAAUAGAUGUGGAACUGUCAACACUGUUGCGAAAUUUUCAAUAAACUAACAAAAGAUGUAUCGUUGAACAAAGCAUUGGAAUCUUAAAAAGACGGUGAAGAAUUUUAGGAUAUGGCAUGAGGAUAUGAGAGGAAGGUAUCACCCCACAAAACUGGAAGAUUUGCUAACGUUUGUGAGGCAUUACAUAACAUCUGCAUAAAAUUUACAUUAAGUUGCGACCCUCAAAAUUGCGAUUCUUAUCACACACAAAAAAUGGACAACGGGGUAGCGAACCGCUUCACCGCAAUCGACCAAACGAUAAGAGAUCAAAUAAAGUAUUCUUUAAUAAACUAAAUUCAA